CCUCCCGCUCGAGGUUUCAUUUGACCCAGGCCGGUCAGCUUCAGUGUCGAUUAUUUUGGACCCGUGAUGCCGGCUGGAGUCUGUGUGUAAAAGUGCGCUUUAAUAAUAAAUGCACCAUGAAGCGGAAACAGUUUCUCCCCGAGGUCCAGGGAGGAGUGAGGCGGAGGAGGAGGUCGGCGGAGCGGGGUCCGGAUGAGGUUUCCACGAAAAAGACGCAGCCGCUUCGCUCCGUGAAGACCAAAUCCCGACAUCCGGGCACCGGAGGCGCCGCGAGGGCAGUAGCAGCAGUGGCGGCGCGCGCCGCUCGCGAAUCCGAAAACGGGCUCGUGCCGCCAAGAGGCGCGCAGAACGGCUCCGGUGACGGAGCUUCCGAGGGAGGCGCUUCGCGGGACCCGGAGGCGCUGGCGGGGGUCCGGCUGGAGGAGCAUCCGGAGGGGGGGGACCGGCGGGCGGCCGAGGAGGAGGAGAGCUCGGGAUCACUGCCCGGCGUGGACAGCAGCGUCUUCUUGGACGAGGACAGUAAUCAGAUCAUGCCUGUGGGACACAUUUUUGGCAACCUGGACCUUGUGCAGGAUUAUCCGCCUCGAAACCCUACGAGAGCCCCCGUGAACAGGAGGGAGUACAGGAGGUUGCACUUCAUUGCCAAGGAGGAUGAGGAUGAAGAUGCUGCUACUGAUGACGAUGGAUCUCUGAGCACAGAGCAGCAGAAAGUUUAUUAUAGAAAAAUUACACCAGAAUCUCCCACCCCCCCCCACAGACGGUACGUAAAUGGGAAGCUGCAUAAGAAAUGGGAGCAGAUGAGAGGUAUGGCUUUUUAAAUAUUGAUGUUGGUGGUAGGGGGAAUUUAAUCCUUUUCAUAUUGGAUGAACAAGUUCAGCCUGUAACCUUUUCCCCAAGAUCCUAGACAGUUCUAAUUUAAAGACCAUGUCCAUGCAAUACACUUCCUUAAUUUCUCACUGUGUUCCAGGUGUCAAGCGGUGCUCAAAGAACUGCAAAAAUGGACUGUUGAAGGUCGUGAACACUCUUCUUGUGACAGACGAUGUGCACCAGGCGGAG